CCAGCAAGGUGGUGGCAUGUUCUUUUGAUUCUAGUUCUCUGUGGCCACUCAGUUGAAAUGACUUAACCCCUUGAAGACUCAGCAAUGCUGUGUGUGUGUGUGUGUGUGUGUGUGUGUGUGUGUGUGUGUAUGUGUGUGUGUCAGGGGGUGGCUGACAGCAUUUGAUAACUCCUCUUUGAUCCCUAUCGUUGACUCAAUUCAACUCUUUGUCAUUUAUUACCUUUCUUAUUGCAGCAGACUCCUAGCCAGUCUCCUGGCCUCCACUCUGACCUAUUCAGCUCUAAAGGAAAUCACAGAGAACCUGGAAUGUCCACUACCUUUGAGAUCCGUUGACUCGUGAAUGGCACUAAUAGAAUUAAAAGAUGAGAGCAAGACCCCUCCCCCACUGAAGACUUCUACUCUGGUGAGUUAUAUCCAAAUAAGUAAUGCCCAUAACCAUAUAAAAUAAUAAAGUAAGUCUCCUCUUAUCA
rnacentral:lncRNA from 1 species